AAACACCUUGAGGAUUGAUUAUAAAAAACAUUUGCAAUGUUUCUGUCGAUAUUAUGGAUCUAAUUUGGAAUAUUUUCCGGCGUUGUCGUGACCGCAGUUUCCGGUGGAUUUCUCAACCAAACGUGAAGUACAAACGGAGGUGUUUCGGCUAUAAAAAUAAUCUUUAUGGGACAAAAUGAACAUUUGCUGUCUAACUGGGAGUCUCGUGAGUGAAAACAUCCAAAGCUCAUCAAAGAUUGAAUGUUUUGCAUGUCAACGGUGGUUCCAUGUGCUGUAACUAGGAAUGAAGACGAGUUCAACAGAGUAAAGAACACAUUCUGGAAGUGCAGUCUGUUGUUGAAAAUGUAUGCUAUACCCCAUCCACACAGAAUUGGCUCUGAAAUGUACAUCAACUAGGGAUAAAGAGAAAGUUAACACUGAAAUGUUUUGUACUUAAGUAAAGUUUCUGUUGGCAUGUUGGAAAGUAUUAAUGGUCUACAAUUUGUUAUUACAUUUUUAUUCAUUGAUUUACUGGCCACCAUUACUGUGGUUAAAUGAUCAGUAUAUGUAUUGACCAGCAAACCCAAUGCAGCCUACCUCACUAGCUCACUCUCCAUCCCUGCUUUGGACAUUUAAUAGCAUGACUCUCGUACUUUGGCCUUUUCCUUUAUGGUUGAUAUUAACGAUGAAAAUAGAUAUUAUUUGUCUCUUUUUGUGUACCGCUGUUAAAUACUGUAUGUGUGUGGGGGGGGGGAAAUAAGUACUUAGAACUACCAAUUAUUAUAGAUAAAUAUUAAAGAAAAGGGACUGAGCCUCCUAAUUGUCAAACUAAUAUUAAUGUAAUAUUAACUAGAGGUUAUGCAAUAUGGGUGUAUAUCCACUGCACGCUUCUUAGGUGUGUAAUUGACGUGACCAAGGAGCUACUGAAAUUUAAAACUAUGAAGAAUGUACGUUACUCCAUGUGAUUUUACAGUACACAAACAACAGUGUGCAAUAUAUACAGUUGAAGUCGGAAGUUUAC
ensembl:lncRNA